GAUGAACGCUGGCGGCGUGCCUAAUACAUGCAAGUCGAGCGAAUGGAUUAAGAGCUUGCUCUUAUGAAGUUAGCGGCGGACGGGUGAGUAACACGUGGGUAACCUGCCCAUAAGACUGGGAUAACUCCGGGAAACCGGGGCUAAUACCGGAUAACAUUUUGAACCGCAUGGUUCGAAAUUGAAAGGCGGCUUCGGCUGUCACUUAUGGAUGGACCCGCGUCGCAUUAGCUAGUUGGUGAGGUAACGGCUCACCAAGGCAACGAUGCGUAGCCGACCUGUCAGGGUGAUCGGCCACACUGGGACUGCGACACGGCCCAGACUCCUACGGGAGGCAGCAGUAGGGAAUCUUCCGCAAUGGACGAAAGUCUGACGGAGCAACGCCGCGUGAGUGAUGAAGGCUUUCGGGUCGUAAAACUCUGUUGUUAGGGAAGAACAAGUGCUAGUUGAAUAAGCUGGCACCUUGACGGUACCUAACCAGAAAGCCACGGCUAACUACGUGCCAGCCGCCGCGGUAA
rnacentral:rRNA from 1 species